rnacentral:rRNA from 2 species
UAGUUAAAACUUUCAACAACGGAUCUCUUGGUUCUGGCAUCGAUGAAGAACGCAGCGAAAUGCGAUAAGUAAUGUGAAUUGCAGAAUUCAGUGAAUCAUCGAAUCUUUGAACGCACAUUGCGCUCCCUGGUAUUCCGGGGAGCAUGCCUGUUCGAGC